AUUGAACGCUGGCGGCAUGCCUUACACAUGCAAGUCGAACGGUAACAGGUCUUCGGAUGCUGACGAGUGGCGAACGGGUGAGUAAUACAUCGGAACGUGCCCGAUCGUGGGGGAUAACGAAGCGAAAGCCUUGCUAAUACCGCAUAAGAUCUACGGAUGAAAGCAGGGGACCGCAAGGCCUUGCGCGAACGGAGCGGCCGAUGGCAGAUUAGGUAGUUGGUGGGAUAAAAGCUUACCAAGCCGACGAUCUGUAGCUGGUCUGAGAGGACGACCAGCCACACUGGGACUGAGACACGGCCCAGACUCCUACGGGAGGCAGCAGUGGGGAAUUUUGGACAAUGGGCGAAAGCCUGAUCCAGCCAUGCCGCGUGCAGGAUGAAGGCCUUCGGGUUGUAAACUGCUUUUGUACGGAACGAAAAGACUCUUUCUAAUAAAGAGGGUCCAUGACGGUACCGUAAGAAUAAGCACCGGCUAACUACGUGCCAGCCGCCGCUGUAACAC
rnacentral:rRNA from 1 species